rnacentral:rRNA from 1 species
CCCUUAGAUGUUCUGGGCCGCACGCGCGCUACACUGACGAAUGCAACGAGCUUAUAACCUUGGCCGAAAGGUCUGGGUAAUCUCCAAAUUUCGUCGUGAUGGGGAUAGAGUAUUGCAAUUAUUAAUCUUCAACGAGGAAUGCCUAGUAAGCGCAAGUCAUCAGCUUGCGUUGAUUACGUCCCUGCCCUUUGUACACACCGCCCGUCGCUCCUACCGAUUGAAUGGUCCGGUGAAGCGUUCGGACCGUGGCCUUUGGACGGUUCGCCGUCUGUUGGCUGCGGGAAGUUCGUUAAACCUUAUCAUUUAGAGGAAGGAGAAGUCGUANCA